CUGACGCUCAUGCACGAAAGCGUGGGUAUCGAACAGGAUUAGAUACCCUGGUAGUCCACGCGGUAAACGAUGAUAACUGGCUGUCCGGGGCGAUUGUGUUUUGGGCGGCUGAGCGAAAGCGUUAAGUUAUCCACCUGGGGAGUACGCCGGCAACGGUGAAACUCAAAGGAAUUGACGGGGGCCCGCACAAGCGGAGGAACAUGUGGUUUAAUUCGAUGAUACGCGAGGAACCUUACCCGGGCUCAAACGCGAGGCGCAACACCCUGAAAGGGGUGGUUCUUCGGACGCCUUGCGAGGUGCUGCAUGGUUGUCGUCAGCUCGUGCCGUGAGGUGUCGGCUUAAGUGCCAUAACGAGCGCAACCCCCAUCUUCAGUUGCCCCCGGGUAAAGCCGGGCACUCUGGAGAGACUGCCGGCGCAAGCUGUGAGGAAGGCGGGGAUGACGUCAAAUCAGCACGGCCCUUACGUCCGGGGCGACACACGUGUUACAAUGGCGGGGCAACAGAGGGGAGCCAGGCGGCGACGCCGAGCUGAUCCCGAAAACCCGUCUCAGUUCGGAUCGGAGUCUGCAACCCGACUCCGUGAAGCUGGAUCGCUAGUAA
rnacentral:rRNA from 1 species